rnacentral:misc_RNA from 1 species
ACAAACUUGGUCAUUUAGAGGAAGUAAAAGUCGUAACAAGGUUUCCGUAGGUGAACCUGCGGAAGGAUCAUUACAAAUCAUUAUUGUUGGGGCUAUAUGUGUUUGUGGAUGGUUUUAUGGGGGGGGGGAAAUUAGAGUUGAUGAGGAAUCUCGAAUCCUUUUCUCUCUUCUCCCCCCACCCUCUCUCUCCCUCACACAAAACACUUUGGUUCCCCACAUUCACGCUUGUUGUGUUUGACAGAGUAAAACGAUAUUGUAACCAUUUUUACAACUUUUAACAAUGGAUCUCUUGGCUCUUGCAUCGAUGAAGAACGCAGC